rnacentral:rRNA from 1 species
GACGAACGCUGGCGGCGUGCCUAAUACAUGCAAGUAGAACGCUGAAGGAGGAGCUUGCUUCUCCGGAUGAGUUGCGAACGGGUGAGUAACGCGUAGGUAACCUGCCUGGUAGCGGGGGAUAACUAUUGAAAACGAUAGCUAAUACCGCAUAAGAGUAGAUGUCGCAUGACAUUUGCUUAAAAGGUGCACCUGCACCACUACCAGAUGGACCUGCGUUGUAUUAGCUAGUUGGUGAGGUAACGGCUCACCAAGGCAACGAUACAUAGCCGACCUGAGAGGGUGAUCGGCCACACUGGGACUGAGACACGGCCCAGACUCCUACGGGAGGCAGCAGUAGGGAAUCUUCGGCAAUGGACGGAAGUCUGACCGAGCAACGCCGCGUGAGUGAAGAAGGUUGUCGGAUCGUAAAGCUCUGUUGUAAGAGAAGAACGAGUGUGAGAGUGGAAAGUUCACACUGUGACGGUAGCUUACCAGAAAGGGACGGCUAACUACGUG